GAGUUUGAUCCUGGCUCAGAACGAACGCUGGCGGCAUGCCUAACACAUGCAAGUCGAACGAAGGCUUCGGCCUUAGUGGCGCACGGGUGAGUAACGCGUGGGAAUCUACCCAGCAGUGGGGAAUAACGACGGGAAACUGUCGCUAAUACCGCAUACGCCCUUCGGGGGAAAGAUUUAUUGCUGUUGGAUGAGCCCGCGUCCGAUUAGGUAGUUGGUGGGGUAAAGGCCUACCAAGCCAUCGAUCGGUAGCUGGUCUGAGAGGAUGAUCAGCCACACUGGGACUGAGACACGGCCCAGACUCCUACGGGAGGCAGCGGUGGGGAAUAUUGGACAAUGGGCGCAAGCCUGAUCCAGCAAUGCCGCGUGAGUGAUGAAGGCCUUAGGGUUGUAAAGCUCUUUCGGGUGGGACGAUGAUGACGGUACCACCAGAAGAAGCCCCGGCUAACUUCGUG
rnacentral:rRNA from 1 species